GUUGUAUGGUUAAGUGACUAAGCGUACACGGUGGAUGCCUGGGCAGUCAGAGGCGAUGAAGGACGUACUAACUUGCGAUAAGCGUAGAUGAGGCAGUAAGAGCCACUUGAGUCUACGAUUUCCGAAUGGGGAAACCCAACUGCAUAAGCAGUUAUCUCAAUGUGAAUUCAUAGCAUUGU
rnacentral:rRNA from 1 species